GUAACAGAAAAGGAGAGAGAGAGAGAGAGAGAGAGAGAGAGAGAUCUUUUAGAAUAAAAUCUCAACUAGCUAUAAAUUUUUCAUUUUAGCUCCGAUUGAAGUGAUUCUUGAGGCGUUAUAAUCGUUAGGAAACCAGCUUUCUUUUGAGAUCAACAAUGCAGAUUUUGGAAAGAGAAUUUUAGAGAGGGAAAAUGUGCAUUGUGUUCAAUUUUUUAUUAUUUUGAGUCAAUAUAACCGUUGGAUUUUCAAAUAAAUAGCACAGAUGAACUCCCCAUAAAGCAAGCUUUUAGAUGCCAUUGGUUUUACUCUGAUGGGACACUAUUUACGAUCCGACGAUCAAAAGUGUUUUGAUGUUUCUAGUCAAUCAUUGACUGUUUAGGAAUAAAAAAUACCUGAACCACAUGAUAUACGCAUUGAGAUGAGUCUAAUAGUGUCUUCGGAUCAUCGAAUUGACAUUAGCGACUGCUGACGAGUAGACGAGCGUAACACGCGUUUGGGUCCCUUCAUCAAAAAACAUGUUGAAUUACUAUAUGUUUUAUCCUUUUAUUGAUGUGUAAUAAGAUGUUAAACAAUUAUUGGAUGAUUAUAUAUUUUCCAAACAAUAUUUGCAAUAAAUAUUUAAGCUUAUUAUACAUUA